rnacentral:misc_RNA from 1 species
AAGUCGUAACAAGGUUUCCGUAGGUGAACCUGCGGAAGGAUCAUUAUCGGGAGUGCCCUCGUGGCUUAACCUGCAACCCUAUGUUUUAAAACCCUUGUUUCUUUGGCGGGCGAUUGCCCGUCAGAAGAAUUCUCAAACUCGUUAUAAACGCGUCAUCUGAAUAACCAUUAAAUAAAUUUAAAACUUUCAACAACGGAUCUCUUGGUUCUG